UUUUUGAAUUGAUAAUUUAAAGUCUAAUCUGCCCACUGAUAAUAAAUUAAAGGGCUGCAGUAUAUUGACUGUACAAAGGUAGCAUAAUCAAUAGUCUCUUAAUUGGUGACUUGUAUGAAAGAUUUAAUGAAAUAUAAACUGUCUCUUUAUAAUUUUUAGAAUUUAAUUUUUUAGUUAAAAAGCUAAAAUAUAUUUAAAAGACGAGAAGACCCUAUAGAGUUUAAUAUUUAAUAUGUAUAUUAAAUAUUUUUUAUAAAAUUUAAAAUUUUAAUAUUAAUAAAUAUUUUGUUGGGGUGACAGAAAAAUUAAAAUAACUUUUUUUAUAAUUUUACAUUAAUAAAUGGUUAAAUGAUCCGUAAUUUACGAUUAUAAGAAAAAAUUACCUUAGGGAUAACAGCGUAAUUUUUUUUUUUAGUUCAAAUAAGAAAAAAAGUUUGCGACCUCGAUGUUGGAUUAAGAUAAAAUUUAAAUGCAAAAGUUUAAAAUUUUU
rnacentral:rRNA from 1 species